rnacentral:lncRNA from 1 species
AAUAUGAUAGAGCUUUUUUUUACUAUAUUAGGUGUACAAGAAGAAGUGGUUAUCUGAUGGCAAUUGCCAAUCUUGAUGAAUAUGAUCAUGACAUUGAUGGUGUUUUUCAAUGGAUGUGAUUAAUGCGUUGACGUUAAUCAUUGAACCUCUUAGAAGGUUAAAAUGAUAAAUAUAUAAUAGAUUUAUCAGUCUUGUAUCAUGGACCAACUCUCACAUCAAAUGAUUCGUGGAGAAGGAAAGUCGAUGGUGG